rnacentral:sRNA from 1 species
UGUCCCAUUGAGGAAGUAAAAGUCGUAACAAGGUCUCCGUAGGUGAACCUGCGGAGGGAUCAUUACACAAAUAUGAAGGCGGGCUGGAACCUCUCGGGGUUACAGCCUUGCUGAAUUAUUCACCCUUGUCUUUUGCGUACUUCUUGUUUCCUUGGUGGGUUCGCCCACCACUAGGACAAACAUAAACCUUUUGUAAUUGCAAUCAGCGUCAGUAACAAAUUAAUAAUUACAACUUUCAACAACGGAUCUCUUGGUUCUGGCAUCGAUGAAGAACGCAGCGAAAUGCGAUAAGUAGUGUGAAUUGCAGAAUUCAGUGAAUCAUCGAAUCUUUGAACGCACAUUGCGCCCUUUGGUAUUCCAAAGGGCAUGCCUGUUCGAGCGUCAUUUGUACCCUCAAGCUUUGCUUGGUGUUGGGCGUCUUGUCUCUAGCUUUGCUGGAGACUCGCCUUAAAGUAAUUGGCAGCCGGCCUACUGGUUUCGGAGCGCAGCACAAGUCGCACUCUCUAUCAGCAAAGGUCUAGCAUCCAUUAAGCCUUUUUUUCAACUUUUGACCUCGGAUCAGGUAGGGAUACCCGCUGAACUUAAGCAUAUCAAAGCCGG